AGAGUUUGAUCAUGGCUCAGGAUGAACGCUGGCGGCGUGCUUGAUACAUGCAAGUCGAACGGACUGGCACUAGGUGGAAGCCUCGGAUAGCGCGGAUCGUGAGAAAUCGUGUGAAGCGCUGGAUGGGGUGGAAGCCUUGAAGCUGGUCAGUGGCGAACGGGUGAGUAACACGUGGGUCAUCUGCCCCGAAGUGGGGAACAACUGCUCGAAAGGGCAGCUAAUUCCGCAUGUGGUCCGGCGCAAGCUGGAAGAAAGGGACGUAAGUCUCGCUUUGGGAUGAGCCUGCGGCCGAUUAGCUAGUUGGUAGGGUAAUGGCCUACCAAGGCGGCGAUCGGUAGCUGGUCUGAGAGGGCGAUCAGCCACACUGGAACUGAGACACGGUCCAGACUCCUACGGGAGGCAGC
rnacentral:rRNA from 1 species